AAGAACUUUCCACCUUGCUCUUGGGGAGACUCGAACUCACAACCUCUCGGUUGGAAGUGGGGGUUGCUUACCAUCAGAGCAACCCCUCUUGUCAAAAGUGCAACCCAGUUAAUCCCACUUAGUGGGAUCUGGCGCAGACCUUACCCAUACACUGGGGUAGAGAGGCUGUUUCCAAAUAGACCCCUGGCAUCCUUACCUCCAAAAACUACCUACCUUUGCUCUUGGGGAGACUCGAACUCACAACCUCUCGGUUGGAAGUGGGGGUUGCUUACAAUAAUAUAUUAAAUCACCCAUCCCAUCACUUAAACCCCAAAUAGACCCCUGGCAUCCUUACCUCCAAAAACUACCUACCUUUGCUCUUGGGGAGACUCGAACUCACAACCUCUCGGUUGGAAGUGGGGGUUGCUUACCAUCAGAGCAAGCCCCUCUUGUCCCAAAUUAAUACACCUAUAGAGCACUUAUUUCCAUAGCCACCUUCUAGGAAGGGUACUCUGGACAAUAAGCCUCCGACAAGUAGCUAAUUGCAAGUAUGCAGAAGAACUUUGAUUCAACAUGUAUUCUAGGUAUUAAGUAUUCUAUGUAAAAACUCUUUUACUCCUAUGUGCUUUUUUUGACGAUCUAAG
rnacentral:lncRNA from 1 species